rnacentral:rRNA from 1 species
UACGUAGGGUGCGAGCGUUGUCCGGAAUUAUUGGGCGUAAAGAGCUCGUAGGCGGUCUGUCGCGUCGGCUGUGAAAACUCGGGGCUCAACUCCGAGCUUGCAGUCGAUACGGGCAGGCUAGAGUUCGGCAGGGGAGACUGGAAUUCCUGGUGUAGCGGUGAAAUGCGCAGAUAUCAGGAGGAACACCGGUGGCGAAGGCGGGUCUCUGGGCCGUAACUGACGCUGAGGAGCGAAAGCGUGGGGAGCGAACAGG